rnacentral:pre_miRNA from 1 species
AUAGUACUCCCUCCGUUCGGAAUUACUUGUCGCGAAAAUGGAUGUAUCUAGAUGUAUUUUAGUUCUAGAUACAUCCAUUUCCGAGACAAGUAAUCCGAACGGAGGGAGUAGAUA